rnacentral:misc_RNA from 1 species
UUCUCCAAGAAAGCCAAAUGCUCUGCUUUCUUUAUCACAUGAGGACUAAAGAUUGCUGGCCCUGAGUCUCUUCCUCCACCUCUUAUCGCUGCCAAUGCUAGCUUGAACAUCACCGAAAACACAAACCCGGAUAUACUUCCGGCAGCUGCUCCGGCGAGAAAUCCUAGGAUCCAACCACUUAGCUUCCUUCUGCCAUUUUUGCCCUUGUGAUGUUUGCCUUCUGUUGACGAUGGGCUAGGAGCUUGAGCAGAAGCUGCAGUUGGCCCUGCUGCAGAAGAAAUAUUUCUGUGUCCUUUGGUUAUAUUAUUAUUCUCCUCUAAUAUGUAACGUUUUGGGUAUUGAGACUCCGUGGAUCCAGCUUUGCUCAUCAGCGGCACAGGUCCCUCAAGAAAGCUAUUCCCAGAGAAGUCGAAGAAUUGGAGAUUACGAAAUGAACGUAUAGAUUUAGGAACUAUCCCCGUAAAGAGAUUGUUUGCAAGAGAGAGACGUUCCAAGUUGGGGAAUUGCUUCAAGAAACUCAAAUUGCCAGAGAAUUUAUUGUUGGAGAGAUCAAGAACUCGAAGACGUAAAAGAUUAGAUAAUUGAGAGGGAAUUUCACCGGAAAACUGGUUGUUUCCUAGGUCAAGAAUUUCUAGUUUCUUGCAGUCAACUAUCUGGGGAGGGAAUUGGUCAACUAGUUGGUUGUUUGGAAGAGAAAGUUCUUUGAGCUCAGAAAGCCGGCCAAUCGCCGGAGACAAGAAUCCAGUGAAGCGUUGGGACUUAAAUACGAGUCUGGUGAUUUUGAGGACAUAGGUAUUGUUGUUAGAGAGUCUUCCCUCGCAGAACACUCCUGGGUUGUUGCAAGGGUUGGUGAAGGAGCUGCGUUGACCAUUGAUGCCCAAAUCUUUGUGGAUGAUGGAGAAGGCUUUGAGGUCUGAAGGGUCGAGAUUCACUCUUGCAUAGGUAAGGAGAAGGAGGGACAGGAGAAUGAGGAGGAAGAGAGAGGCCUUGUGAUCCGUGAAAUCCA